UACGUAGGGUGCGAGCGUUAAUCGGAAUUACUGGGCGUAAAGCGUGCGCAGGCGGUUCGUUGUGUCGGUGGUGAAAGCCCCGGGCUUAACCUGGGAACUGCAAUGGAAACUGGCGGGCUUGAGUGUGGCAGAGGGGGGUGGAAUUCCGCGUGUAGCAGUGAAAUGCGUAGAGAUGCGGAGGAACACCGAUGGCGAAGGCAGCCCCCUGGGCCAACACUGACGCUCAGGCACGAAAGCGUGGGGAGCAAACAGG
rnacentral:rRNA from 1 species